rnacentral:hammerhead_ribozyme from 1 species
GUACUGACGAGGAGUCCCAAAAACUAGGACGAAACAGUUGUCCAGUAC